GCAAGUCGAACGAGAAAGUCUCUUCGGAGACGAGUAGAGUGGCGCACGGGUGAGUAACACGUAGAUAACCUGCCCUUCAGCCCGGGACAACCUUCUGAAAAGGGGGCUAAUACCGGAUAACACCUAAAGUCGAGUGGCUUAAGGUUAAAAGAUUUAUCACUGAAGGAUGGGUCUGCGUACCAUUAGUUUGUUGGUGGGGUAACGGCCUACCAAGACGACGAUGGUUAGCGGGUCUGAGAGGAUGAUC
rnacentral:rRNA from 1 species